rnacentral:rRNA from 1 species
AGUGAAGCGGCAACAGCUCAAAUUUGAAAUCUGGCCCUUGUGGUCCGAGUUGUAAUUUGUAGAGGAUGCUUUUGGUUAGGUGCCUUCCGAGUGCCCUGGAACGGGCCGCCAUAGAGGGUGAGAGCCCCGUCUGGUUGGAUACCGAGCCUCUGUAAAGCUCCUUCGACGAGUCGAGUAGUUUGGGAAUGCUGCUCUAAAUGGGAGGUAUAUGUCUUCUAAAGCUAAAUAUUGGCCAGAGACCGAUAGCGCACAAGUAGAGUGAUCGAAAGAUGAAAAGCACUUUGAAAAGAGGGUUAAAAAGUACGUGAAAUUGUUGAAAGGGAAGCGCUUGUGACCAGACUUGGGCCCGGUCAAUCAUCCAGGGUUCUCCCUGGUGCACUUGGCCGGCCCAGGCCAGCAUCAGUUCGUCGCGGGGGAUAAAGACGUUGGGAAUGUGGCUCCCCCGGGAGUGUUAUAGCCCUUCGUGUAAUACCCUGCUUUGGACUGAGGUUCGCGCAUCUUGCAAGGAUGCUGGCGUAAUGGUCAUCAGCGACCCGUCUUGAAACACGGACCAAGGAGUCGUCUUCGUAUGCGAGUGUUCGGGUAUCAAACCCCUACGCGUAAUGAAAGUGAACGCAGGUGAGAGCUUCGGCGCAUCAUCGACCGAUCCUGAUGUUCUCGGAUGGAUUUGAGUAAGAGCAUACGGGGCCGGACCCGAAAGAAGGUGAACUAUGCCUGUAUAGGGUGAAGCCAGAGGAAACUCUGGUGGAGGCUCGCAGCGGUUCUGACGUGCAAAUCGAUCGUCAAAUAUGGGCAUGGGGGCGAAAGACUA